rnacentral:miRNA from 1 species
ACAAGCUAGCAACCCGGCUCCGUG